UACGAAGGGGGCUAGCGUUGCUCGGAAUCACUGGGCGUAAAGGGUGCGUAGGCGGGUCUUUAAGUCAGGGGUGAAAUCCUGGAGCUCAACUCCAGAACUGCCUCUGAUACUGAGGAUCUUGAGUACGGGAGAGGUGAGUGGAACUGCGAGUGUAGAGGUGAAAUUCGUAGAUAUUCGCAAGAACACCAGUGGCGAAGGCGGCUCACUGGCCCGUUACUGACGCUGAGGCACGAAAGCGUGGGGAGCAAACAGG
rnacentral:rRNA from 1 species